AAAUAGUACAUUUUGUGGCCUGGUCUUCAUAUCUGAGAGUCAAAUAGAAGCGUCAAAUACUGUGUUUACAGCGCAGUGGUAAACAUUCCUAUUUUCUGGGUGCUAAUCUGCUAAAUAGUACAUUUGCGGACUGCACUUCAUACCUGAGAGUCAAAUAGAAGCAUCUAAUAGUGUGCUUACAGCAUAGUGGUAAACAUUCUUAUUCUCUGGGUGCUAAUCUGCUAAAUAGUACAUUUUGGGGCGUGCACUUCAUAUCUGAGAGUCAAAUAGAAGUGUAUAAUAGUGUGCUUACAGCGCAGUGGUAAACAU